CACGUAGGGUGCGAGCGUUGUCCGGAAUUAUUGGGCGUAAAGAGCUCGUAGGCGGCUUGGCAAGUCGGAUGUGAAAACUCCAGGCUCAACCUGGAGCCGCCAUUCGAUACUGCUAUGGCUAGAGUCCGGUAGGGGAGUGUGGAAUUCCCGGUGUAGCGGUGAAAUGCGCAGAUAUCGGGAGGAACACCGAUGGCGAAGGCAGCACUCUGGGCCGGUACUGACGCUGAGGAGCGAAAGCGUGGGGAGCGAACAGG
rnacentral:rRNA from 1 species